rnacentral:rRNA from 1 species
UGGGCUAGAAUGCUGGGAGACCGUGGGUGAAAGCUCACUUUGUAGCAAUACACUGCCAGUA